CCCUUAGAUGUUCGGGGCCGCACGCGCGCUACACUGAAGGAAUCAGCACGUCUUUCUCCUUGUCCGAAAGGACUGGGUAACCCGCUGAACCUCCUUCGUGCUAGGGAUUGGGGCUUGUAAUUCUUCCCCAUGAACGAGGAAUUCCCAGUAAGCGCGAGUCAUAAGCUCGCGUUGAUUACGUCCCUGCCCUUUGUACACACCGCCCGUCGCUACUACCGAUUGGAUGGUUUAGUGAGAUCCUCGGAUUGGUCCCGGAGCGGCCUCUGGUCGCGCCGGAGUGCCGAAAAGAAUGUCGAACUUGAUCAUCUAGAGGAAGUAAAAGUCGUAACA
rnacentral:rRNA from 1 species